CCCGGGUCUUGUACACACCGCCCGUCACACCAUGGGAGUCAGCAAUGCCCGAAGUCAGUGACCCAACCGUAAGGAGGGAGCUGCCGAAGGCAGGACUGAUGACUGGGGUGAAGUCGUAACAAGGUAGCCGUAUCGGAAGGUGCGGCUGGAUCACCUCCUUUCUAAGGA
rnacentral:rRNA from 1 species